CGUGUAGGCGGUCAGGUAGGUCCGAUGUGAAAACUGGAGGCUCAACCUCCAGCUGUCAUUGGAAACCAUCUGGCUAGAGUCCGGAAGAGGAGAGUGGAAUUCCUGGUGUAGCGGUGAAAUGCGCAGAUAUCAGGAAGAACACCUAUGGCGAAGGCAGCUCUCUGGGACGGUACUGACGCUGAGACGCGAAAGCGUGGGAGCGAACA
rnacentral:rRNA from 1 species